GUCAGAUUCAACCAGCGGCGGAUCGUGUACAGCACUACUACGGUUAGGUUUGCUGAAUCCGCGGAUGCGGAACCUGAGAUGUGGAGGGCCCGCUAACGAACUUGAACGUCUGCGGAGUUUGGUAUCCUCGAGGGAUCCUGGAACCAAUCUCUGGGGGGAGAUACCGAGGGAUCACUGCAUAUUACAGAUAAGAAGAAGGCUAAUGCACAAAAUAUAUAACUUGAUGAUCUAUACAUUUGCUGAGACUGGAAAGUACAAUUUUUUGCUUAAUAGAGCGCGGUGAAGACAGUGAUGAAACCAGGAUUGCUUACUUUAAGAUCAGUUUGAAGUUUCAAGCCUAGGGGUGAAGGUCGAUUCAGGUUUCGUCCCACUGGUGAUUCAUUGAAGGAAACCUUAGUUUUCUUAUAGGUGAUGAAGAUGUUUGCAUCAGGAAGUACACAUUGUACAGUUCUUUUACAGAGAAACUAAUGUCCAGAGAAUAUCAAGAAACUGAAGCUUCCCCUGCCCAACUCGUUGGCUUCCUGACAUCAGAGUCUCCCUUCCACCACGGAGACAAACAGCCAAGGACGCUCAUCUGAGAAAUCCUUCGUCUCCUCCACUGGAAGCAGCCCCAGACACAGGCCAAUGGGAAAGUGCUGACCAAGGAGUCCAUGGCCCAUCUCCCCUACCUAAAACCCCAAGUAAAAACCUCUACCCGUUUCCUAAUGGGGUGCUAGAAAAUUUUGAGGCACUAGCCCUUGCUUUGCUCCCUCUGCCUGGAAAAGUAAAGCCUUUCCUUUUUCACCCAAGAGUCUGUUCUCAUUAUUUAAAUCGGUGUCCAGAUCAGAGACUGAACUUUCAGUAACAAUUAUACAGGGAGGACUGUGUACCCUACAUUUAUUUCCCUCUAUGGUUACAUUUUAUGUAACUAUA
rnacentral:lncRNA from 1 species